rnacentral:rRNA from 1 species
AGCAGCCGCGGUAAUUCCAGCUCCAAUAGCGUAUAUUAAAGUUGUUGCAGUUAAAAAGCUCGUAGUUGAAUUUUAGGCCUGGCCAGGCGGUCCGUCUUUGGCGAGUACUGUCUUGUGUCGGGUCUUCCUUCUGGUGAACCUGUAUGUCCUUUAUUGGGUGUGCUGGGGAGCCAGGACCAUUACCUUGAAAAAAUUAGAGUGUUUAAAGCGGGCUAUUGCUUGAAUAGAUUAGCAUGGAAUAAUAGAAUAGGACGUUGUGGUUCUAUUUUGUUGGUUUCUAGGACCACCGUAAUGAUUAAUAGGGAUAGUUGGGGGCAUUAGUAUUCAAUUGUCAGAGGUGAAAUUCUUGGAUUUAUUGAAGACUAACUACUGCGAAAGCAUUUGCCAAGGAUGUUUUCAUUAAUCAAGAACGAAAGUUAGGGGAUCGAAGACGAUCAGAUACCGUCGUAG